UACGGGGGGGGCAAGCGUUGUUCGGAAUUACUGGGCGUAAAGGGCGCGUAGGCGGCCUUCUAAGUCGGACGUGAAAUCCCUCGGCUUAACCGAGGAACUGCGUCCGAUACUGAAAGGCUUGAAUCCGGGAGAGGGAUGUGGAAUUCCUGGUGUAGCGGUGAAAUGCGCAGAUAUCAGGAAGAACACCCGUGGCGAAGGCGGCUCUCUGGUACGUGACUGACGCUGAGACGCGAAAGCGUGGGGAGCGAACAGG
rnacentral:rRNA from 1 species